rnacentral:rRNA from 1 species
UACGAAGGGGGCUAGCGUUGCUCGGAAUCACUGGGCGUAAAGGGUGCGUAGGCGGGUCUUUAAGUCAGGGGUGAAAUCCUGGAGCUCAACUCCAGAACUGCCUUUGAUACUGAAGAUCUUGAGUUCGGGAGAGGUGAGUGGAACUGCGAGUGUAGAGGUGAAAUUCGUAGAUAUUCGCAAGAACACCAGUGGCGAAGGCGGCUCACUGGCCCGAUACUGACGCUGAGGAGCGAAAGCGUGGGAGCGAAGAGG